UGUCGUCAGCUCGUGUCGUGAGAUGUUGGGUUAAGUCCCGUAACGAGCGCAACCCUUAUUGUUAGUUGCCAGCAUUGAGUUGGGCACUCUAGCAAGACUGCCGGUGACAAACCGGAGGAAGGCGGGGAUGACGUCAAAUCAUCAUGCCCCUUAUGACCUGGGCUACACACGUGCUACAAUGGGAAGUACAACGAGCAAGCCAAGCCGCAAGGCCUAGCGAAUCUCUGAAAGCUUCUCUCAGUUCGGAUUGCAGGCUGCAACUCGCCUGCAUGAAGCCGGAAUCGCUAGUAAUCGCGGAUCAGCAUGCCGCGGUGAAUCCGUUCCCGGGCCUUGUACACACCGCCCGUCACACCACGAGAGUUUGUAACACCCAAAGUCGGUGCGGCAACCCUUAGGGGAGCCAGCCGCCUAAGGUGGGACGAAUGAUUGGGGUGAAGUCGUAACAAGGUAGCCGUAUCGGAAGGUGCGGCUGGAUCACCUCCUUUCUAAGGAA
rnacentral:rRNA from 1 species